UCGUUGAUCCAUUUUGAAUUAAUUUUUUUGUGUGUUGUGUCAGGUGAGGGACCCACUUCAUUCUUUCGCAUGUGGAUAGCACCAUCUCUGUUAGAGAGACUGUUCUCUUCCCAUUGAUUGGACUUGGCAUAUACCCAUAUUUUCGAACCUUUUUCACCUCUCCCUAGCAUAGCUCUUCACUAGAGUCAUUCUAAUGCCUUUACCAUAUCUGGAACCUGCAGUGUUUAUCUCUGUCUGCCUCUUCAUUUUUUGCCCAGAAUCCUUUUCUUCUUGUUAAUGUGCUGAUUUUUCCUAGUCCACACUAAUCUCUCCUUCUUCAGAACUCCUAAAUUUGGAGCAUUUAGUGCCAUUCUUCUCAUCCUCUUAGAUAAUAGUAUAAGAUAAGCACAUUUCUGAUUGGGUGGUUCGUAGGCCUCUGUCUGUUCUCCCCAGCUAGCGAAUAGAACUCUGUGGGCGGGAAUCAGGCCUGAACUUCUUUAUCUCCCAUAGUGUUACCCUGAGGAAGUACUAAGUAAAUGAGUGAAACGUAGUUUUAUGUGAUUUAUAUCAGUAGAUUGUCUUAUUUUAAAUGUAAAUUCACUCUCAUUUGGUCUUACUAAGUAGGGAGCUGCCUCUGCAGUAUCUAAAAUAGAAUAAAAAUAAGAAUCCAGGUCUUUCAGUAUGCUGAGGUCAUCAGACACUCAGUGAACCUGACUUGGCAUUUUGUUUUCCCUAGCUCUAAGGCAUUGUGUGGUAUGUUUGGAAAGUCUGAGGUUGGUCUAAUAAAAAAACAUAUAGAUGAUGGAAAGAGAAAAUCCCUUCAACCCUUUUUUGGGGAGUGUGACGGGAACAUUUGAUAAGGUCUUUAAAAACUGUAUUUGCUAAACCAAAUUAAUGUUUCAUUUAAAAGAAGUUGAGCUUUAGCCUAUUUUUCAUGAAACAUGUAGGUCCCCACAUGAGGCUUGUUUAGCAUGUCAUCUGUGUGACUGGCAUAAGCUCAUAGUCUCUCCACUGAGGAAAGCUGGGAGAAGUAGUCCCAGCACUUAAUGGUGCCCCUGAGCUAAUCCUGCUGGCUCCAUGGUAAACAUGGGCCUUUUAAUAGACUGGAGACAAAGUGACAUUCGGAAGAAACAACAUGUCGACAAUUUCCUUAAUAAAUUUUGUACGAACACAUUAUUUCCACCUAAUGGAAAUGUAGCUCUCUUAAAUAAUUGAGAGGCUGUAUUCAUCAGUGGUGAGUUCAGCUGGGAUCUUUGUGAGCUAGGGCAGCCAACAACCCCUUGGAAAACAGGGUAAUUGAUAUUUUACAUAAGUGGCUUGACUAGUUUUCAGGUGGGCUCUGUGUGACAUUCCCCUGCAGUCCCCAUGCACAGCUCUCUUCUGUUGUCCAGGCUGUCACAAAGCAGCUCCACACUGAAGGUUCCAGUUGCAGCCACCGAACUGCCAAGACUAAGGGUAGUUCCUGAAAUGACUGAGCUGUUGAAGAAAAAAUGAGUCGUGAUCAUGUCUUAAGAAAGGAAAUUAUGUCAAAGUAUUCAGCUGAAAUCAUAGAAAUUCAUGGCUAUUAAUCAUUAGAAAGCAUGGAGAGCUACAUUUCAUAAUAUGAGGAAAAAUUCUAACAGAUGCCAGAAUGCUUUUUUAUGGGGAUAUUAUUAUGUUUCUUUCUAAUAAUUUGUGGUUCCAAACAAUUAUUUUUUGAAAUUUUCUAAUUCUGUAAUAAAAUAUAUAAUAAAGCCUU